rnacentral:tRNA from 1 species
GAGGGUACAGCUCCAUGGCAGAACGUAUGCUUAGCAUGCAUGAGGUCCUGGGUUCAAACCCCAAUACCUUCA